GUGGGGGGCGUUGGGAGCAAGGAUGGACCCAAAUGCAAGACACAAACACCUCUUGAGGGUUAACUUAAGUUUAUUGCUCGUUGCAAGGAGAGCAAAGCAGAAGCAGGAAUAGCAUACUGGACAAGGACUCAGGCCUUGGACUAGGCUGGGACGAAGGGUCCGGGCCAGGACUUGGCACUUGGAGCUUCCGGGGCCAGGACUCUUCUUAUUCAUUGGACAGACAGAGACACUGGGCGGUAAUGCACCAUUAAGCUGGAUGCCAACCGCCGUAAAACAAGAUACAGAGACACUGGACAUAAAACACUGUACCGGGAAUCCUCCUUAGACACAGGACAGAGUCGGGACUCUUCUCGACACAGGGUCAAGACCCUUCCAGGGUACAGGGCCGGGACCCCUUUUGGGCGCAGGACAUGGAAACGGACACCACACAACGAAGGACAGAACUAUAACUGGGCUCAAGUACGUUCCAAGCCGCGGCGAGCACUUGACUCGCCCCCAGCGGGUUAACUUUGACUCACCCGUACUGACAAGGGAAGGCGGCUUGCUGGCACUUGCUCCGGCCGGUCGACAUCGGCUCGCCGUACCUUUGGUGACUUUGCAAACGCUCUCGCACCGAACGGCUGAAAGCCGGAGACUAUAAACCGCCGGUGGGACACGGGAAAACAGGGAGUCAACAGUCCGGAUCGUAACACAAACAAAGUAAAUUUAAAGGGAACCCGAUCCGGACCAUGACAGCGUGAUUCUAAAUCACAUCCAAAACACUUCGGAGCUCCGAGAAAAACUGCACCCGCCCGGCCGGGUCGGCACGUGACCGUGUUGUCCACUUGCCGGUUUGGCGCCUUUUUGCCCAGACUCUUGACGGCAGAAAUAUCGGCAAAUGCCACCGCCCAAAAGACAUUUUUCUGAAAGGAAAACGUUUUAGAAAAAGGAUGGUAUGUAAUUUUCUUGCAGAUAAUCUUAGCAUGUAGAAAAUCCAAAUGAUUUUUCUGACGCCGACCAGAUUAGGAAAAAGCCAGUUAUUUGGCUUUCCUUUCACUUUCAUUUACUCCUCCCCCCUCACCGCUUUUUUUCCUCCAGCUUCCGAGUUUCUUCCUUUCCAGUCUGAUCAAGUGUCGGAAACGACCUGACCUGAUAAGUUUCCUCAGCAUUUUGUGUGCGUUGUUGAAGAUUUCCCUACAUCUGCCGAUUUGUUUAUUCACUCGCUCUUGGUUUUGGAGCCCCGGGUGAAUUUCAAACGAGCGCGGGAAGCGGAAUCCUGGUGAAUUUCUAAGGAAGCUGGAGAACGAAUCCUCGGCUCGAGGCAUAAGCAUGUUGGCAAGUAACUUGCAAGACACCAACAAUCGAAAAAGGGCAGAUAUUGUAACAGAAGAACAGCUAAUGCAACUAGCUGGAAAAAUAGGCGAUUGGAAGUGCUUAGCAAUAGGACAUCUAGGCUUUACAAAGUCUGAAGUUGACCAAGUUGCUUCCAGUAGAGAUAAUCAGCAGUAUCAAAUAUUUUCUAUGCUACAUAAGUGGAGAAAUCGGCAAAAGCCUCCAACAAUUCAAAGCCUCAUACAAAUUUUGGAAAAAGCUAAUACAGAUUUUGGAGCAUUGGAAUAUCUGCAGAAUGAAUGCAAUACUGUUAACGAAAAACAGGAUCUCCACGGUAGUAAUCUCUGGAUUGCUGCCUGUGCCAUGUGCCAGUGAGGGUAAGAAGUGGAUGAUUUGGCAGUAAAUGAAGUCAGGAAAAUAUCUGCAGAAGCAAAGCCCCCAGAGAAGAAUCAAACUGGCACUCUGAUCUUGGAAAAUGCACAGACAGAAAAUCUGUCAAAAGAGGAGAAUUUGUUCCCGAAAAUACAUUCCAAAACCUCAAAGAAGAAAGAUGCAACACAGCUAAAAUCUGAGAAGGAGGGUGCGAAAACAAAGAGAAAACAAAGAAAAAUGCAGGCAAAAACAUUUGAAGUUCUUGUCCUCUCCAUGGUGAAAAGGAAGCCAAGGAAAUGUUAUGGAUGCAGAAAACAGCUCCUUGAUGGAGAAGUUCCAGACUUGGUAUUGAAAACUGAAGAUUUUCGAGAAUACUUCUCUGGAUACAAACAGAAGCAUCUUGCAUUUCAGCCUUCAAAUGUAUACUUCCAUGUGAAUGAGGAAUGUGUAAGAAACAAGUAUGGGCCAUUUCGUCAGCAUAAGUUCACAGUGCCAGACAAUGUGCUAAAGCAUUUAAAUAGCACCCAAAUCACAAUGCUCAAAAGCAUGAAUAUCAUUCAAGGUGCUGAUGAUACAAAAUGGAAAGUUAAAACCCCAGAACAUGAUCCUAAACAUGGAAAGCUAAUGCAGUAUGAGCGUGAAAAGGUAGAAGCUUCUCCUAGUUCCCAGUGCUGUCAGUCCUCUGUGCGUCAUUGAAUUCCGAUGAGGGGAGGAGAAGAUGGCAGCACGUGCGGUCACUCUGAAAUGAUAUCGUAUUUGUAAGUAGGGGCCGUGCACAAUCCUGAUUUGAUGGAGACAGACGUGAGAAGCACGGAGGAACAUCUGGAGAAACUUCUGAAAUGCCCGCUUCGCUGCCGCUGCUACUGUGCGAUCAAGAAUCUCCGGAGGGGGAAGGCCCCAAAUCCUCGGCUUUGCCUAUGCCUGUUGCCGGAGCCAGGAUCGAAGCACUCGGCAGAGAUGGUGCUCGGUGCUUGGUGUCGGAGGGCUGGUCGGAGGCUCAGAGUUUUCGGACGGACUCAAGAGUUGACUGUGGUCAGGUGCUUCCAGGGUGCUGCAUCGGCAAGUUUGCGGUGCUGGAGGUUCAUGGCAGGGAGAGUUUUUCUUUCUCCUACCAUCUGCGUGAGAUGAUGGGACUUUCGAGAGACUUUGAGACUUUUUUUUUUACCGUGCCCAUGGUCUGUUCUUUAUCAAAUUACGGUAUUGCUUUGCAUUGUUGUAACUAUAUGUUAUAAUUAUGUGAUUUUUGUCAGUUUUUCAGUCUUGGUUUGUCUUGUGUUUCUGUGAUAUCAUUCUGGAGGAACAUUGUAUCAUUUCUUAACGCAUGCAUUACGAAAUGACA